rfam:Chloroflexi bacterium RBG_19FT_COMBO_47_9 rbg_19ft_combo_scaffold_584, whole genome shotgun sequence.
GCCCCCGUAGCUUAACGGAUAGAGCAUCUGACUUCGGAUCAGACGGUUGUGAGUUCGAAUCUCGCCGGGGGCG